GACGAACGCUGGCGGCGCGCUUAACACAUGCAAGUCGAACGGAAAGGCCUCCUUGGGGGUGUUGGAGGGGCGAACGGGAGAGUAAAACGGGAGAAAAAUGCGCUUGACAUCGGGAUAAAAUCAGGGAACAAGGGCUAAUAACGGGGAGGAAUUCUUGAUACAAGGGGGGGGUGGGAAAGGUUGUGGGAAUUGGGAUGGACUCGCGGGGGAUCGGCUUGGUGGUGGGGUAGUGGCUUACCAAGGCUUUGACGGGUAGAGGGCCUGAGAGGGCGACCGUCCACAUUGGGACUGAGAUACGGCCCAGACUCCUACGGGGGGCAGCAGUGGGGAAUAUUGCACCAUGUGCGGAGGCCUGGUGCAGCAACUCCGCGCGCGGGAGUACGGCCUUCGUGUUGAAAACCACUUUCAGCAGUGGCUAAGCUUGUGGUGACGGUACCUGCAGAAGAAGCACCGGCUAACUACGUG
rnacentral:rRNA from 1 species